GCGCGUCGAUCCCAAAGCGAGGCGGCGCUGGCGUGCUAGGUCUGGGGAUGUGAAGGGAUCGGGAUGUGGAGGGCCGCCGCCGCCGCUCGUCAGUCACCGUUCUACUCCGGACAAGAGUACUUCCCCGUGCUCGCGGGCGAGUGCAAGGAGUUCAUGUUGGCCCUGCCGCUGGACGAGAAGAGGACGCGGUUCCUGGUGUGCGGGUGGCACACCAUGCGGAGGUUGCCGCUGGCGGAGCCGUGGAUGGCGCCGGUGUUGCCGCGCCACACCAGGACGCUGCAGAGGGCGGUGAGGUGCGCGGAGUAGUGCCCGUCGCGGCUGGUCUGGCGGUUCGAGACCCUGCAGGUCUGCCCCUCCCUCGAGAAGUGGAAGUCCAAGCUGCGGGGGCGCGCGAGGCAGCUGAAGCGGUAGCCGCUGGUGGACCGGCAGUAGUGGUGGCUGUCGAAUACCCCUUGUACGGGUGGCGCGUCCAGUUCGCGUAGCGGCUCCUGAACGUUCUGGUCUGCCUCCUCAGCCGCGAGCACUAGAGGCCGUAGUGCCCCUCCUAAUUGUCCCGGCACACCCCUGGGCCGUUGGCCUGGUAGUAGUGCCGACCGCUCCUACGGUGGUAGGCGUAGACCCUGAGACUCUGACCUUUCGACGACUUCCUCAGUCUGUUCCUCCGACCCGUAGUCUUCCGUUAAUCGAGUGAUAGUUUUAGGAAUCUAACCAGAGUAAAGGAGUGUCCAAGGAACCUAUUUAGACGAUUCGAUACCCUACGUUCUUGUGACUGGGACUACUUCUGUAUACAGUGUCUCGCUGGUCAAUUACGACAACUGUACAGAGGAUGAGAACUAUUACACCAAUAACCUCCACCAGUUCUACGUUACUUGCAAUGAUACUGUCUAGCGGCACGGCCAUUUAAACUCCGGUUUAAAAAGGUGUUCUAAAAUGUUCUUCUCUAACCACCACAAUUUCCUGUAAAACCUGGUUAGUUACGUAACCGUAAAUUAGGACUACCUUUCUCGAAAAGCUCACCACCCCUCCUACCUAUGCACUCCGAUGUGGUAAAACUAGGACUCAUAAAGUUGUAGUUCUACAUUCGGACACUUAAAGAGUUCCGGUCCCAUCUUGGUUUGUUCAAAUAUGAUCCGGGACAACUUCGUGGUAAUAAAAAGUCCGUGUCAAGCGGUAAAAGGCUGGAACAAAGUCCGACGUCAACUUUCUGGAGGGAGCAUGAGACCUCACUUGUAUCAAAAUAAAAAAACCGAGUCAAACACGUUGUUGAAAUGAAUCGAC
rnacentral:rRNA from 1 species